rnacentral:lncRNA from 1 species
AGAACAUAAUCUAGAACACUAAGAUGAUCUUGUAUAGAUCCGGAUGCCGACGGCCAAGCCCAGGAUUGCUAGCGGCACGAGGAAUUGGAGAAGCCUGAUGAUGAACUCUGAUGUCUUGUCCUGGUUGUAGUGAGGCUGCUUUGGAGGUGUACACACCUUCUUCUUUGGGAUGGUCGAUACAUCAAUCUCUCCGACUUAGUACUGGUCCAUCAUUUCUCUGGCACUCGGACUAUGACCCACAUCUUCAAAGUCAUCAGUGGCAUCUUUCCCUAAGAAAACAUUCAGAAAACCCCAAUUAUCUCACUUACAGGCAUACUAAUUAUACAAUGAAAAUAUAACUAGAGGUCGAGUUGCUUGAAGCAGGUUUUAGCAAAGGAUAUACCUGUUACGGACAGAAAAACUUCAUCACCUCCAGGAUGAUCUUCCAAGAAUUUUGUCACUUCAUACACCUAUUCAAAAUAUUAGAUCCGCUUAUAGAUGAACUUAAAAGAAUUAGAUAUAUAAACACUAUGCUAGAAACGCCAUCCAAGCUUAUAGACAGCAAGACCUGAAACUCUAGACCUCUCAGUUUAUCACGAUAAAAAUACAAGGAGAGAGGAUGGUGCAUUCACGCAUGUUACAUACUUGCACCAGAAAUAUUACCAUACAAAUCUAAACUGGAAGCCAAGAACUAGAAAUUGCAUAACAACAAAUGCCAAACGAUAUUAGUCUUCACAAAGAGGGUUAUUUUAGCAUCGCGAGAAAUCGCGAAACAUCCAACAUCGGACACUUCCAGUGAGAAAUCUAGAAACAUAAAAUAAGUACAUUGGAUAUAUGAUAAUUCACUACACUUGGCAUCAGAAAUUAUCUUUUGCUUUCUCUCUCUCAUUUUUUUUUCCCCUUUAUUUUAGCUUUCCAAGAAGCAUUGUAAUUCUUUGAAAAUAACCCACUUUUUGGAACGGAUAGCAACUAAACCAUUAGCACACAACAAUCUAUAUUUUGUGUUACCCAAAUUACUUGGUAUAUCAGUAUGAACAUUCUUGCUUUUAACAAUUUGAAACAUGAAUGAAAUUAUUACGAAAGAAAGCAAGGAAAAUGAAAGUCUUGCGCUGCUGUGCUGUGUUUUUGCAUUCGAUAAUUUCCUAAAAUAGUAAAUCCAACAAUAGUUUCAUAUCAAGAUAUUAACGGCUAGUUUGUAAACGAUUUGCCUCAGCUUAAUGCAUAGUAGGUAAAGUUCUCAGUUAACAAAUGUGGAUCCCGAAUUUGUACUCUUGACAUUUAUUUAAACUCCAUCAUUAAACGAUAAAUUUCAUGACAGUUUGUCUAAACUCUUUUUGUUCUUUGUACUCUGCCUCCAUAAUCGACUUCAAUUCAGAAAUAAAACAAUCAAUCUUAUUCAUCCAUUGAAUGAUAUAAUCAUAAUGAAACGUUGUCAUCACUUAUUAUCAUGAAACAAAAAUAUAAUGAGAAAAUGUUAAAAUCAUUUAUUAUAUUAUAUUUGGGCAAUAGAAAUGAUUAUUAAUGAGAACGCAACCUCUGAAUCUUCUAAGUCAUCAGAAUUGUGUGAGUGAUUGUGAUGGUCAACUGCAGCAUGCUCAUCCUCGACAGAAUUUUGCUGCUCCUGUGUUGAGCUCAUGGUGUUAUGUCGCUCCUCUACUUCCUCUUGAAAGUGCUUCCACUAGAAGUUGGCCUUCCACUUUAAGAUCCGGCGAAUCUUUUUUUGUUUUCACGGUCCACUGUGAUGGCAGCCCCUCGGUCACUUUAAAAAGCCAAGCCUGCAACAAGAAAGUUAUAGGAAAAAAAAAAGUAUGAAUUAUUCUUAAGUACAAAACUUAUGAACUUAAAAUUUUUUUCCAACCCACCUAAACCCCAUGACUAAAGCCAUAGAGAUUGUAUCUCUCAAUAUUAUUAUCGGUAUUUACCAAGUGAUCAUUAUUAAAUCUCUCAGCUUUCUUGUUCAAUGUAUUGUCAAUAUCAUCAUAUAUUAUUUCUCAUGAUACACGACCUCAUGGACAACUUUGAAAGUGAUUUAUAUUUCAACAUAAUUCAUCAGUUGGAAAUGAACUUGACAGUGAUAUGAUCUUUUCUUCCAUUCAAUACCUUAUCAGCAAAGUAAUAAAGCAUGAUUUUUAGAGCAUCCACGGCAUGAAAGUUCAAAUUGACAAAUCUAGUGUCCAAUUGUUAAAGAUUCAAAUUUUCAAACCUAACAUGAAAGUACUUAUCAAGUAACUUAUGAUGCAUCUCCAUAUUUUUUAAUAAGACAUUUGAACCAUAAAAAUGUCUCGUAAUUACACAACACUCGCCAAUAGAUAAACUACUAAUAAUAAAGAAAAAGCAUAGCAUAAUAAAACAUAAAGCAAUAAGCUUAAUUAAAUAAUAAAAAUUAGACCAUCCACAUCAAAUCAACCAUCAUGCUAAUAAUGUAUAAUAAAUAAAACAAAUUAGACUAAAACAAGGUACUAAAUAAUAUGUUAUUGGUUAUAUUAAGUUUUUUCUUUUUUUUCCUUCAUAUAUUUAUAGGAUGCUUCCUAUAUUUAUAGGAUGCAAAUGGGAAGAGGGGUGGGAUUUACAAAAUCAAGCGACAAGUCAAUAGUUUACAGUAGAAACUGUAGAAUCAUUAAACAAAUUAGAGAUUUGCCAUCUCAAAAACAGAGAACAUUUUAUUGCCCAAUUAAUUAAUUAAACAAGACAACAAGAAGGCAAAAAAACAUGUCUAAAAGGAUGAGCAAAUCCACUUUAUUUGGAAUUUUGCGAUCACAACAGAGCAGAGAAAAAAAACUCACAGAUCCAAGAGUUCAGAAACAGUACAAUUUGUCAUACGAGUACAUCCGAUCUAGCACUGUAAGUCUGUAACAACAAACAAUACAAAAAAAAAAAUUGGAAAAAUAUAAACCAAAAAAUAACUCAUCGAUCACAAACUUAAUGCAAUAAAAUAAAAUAUUUAACCCAAAAAAAAAUCAGGCAACGAACAUUGAAUUUAUAUAUUUAAAAAUUACCAAAAAAAAACAGUCACAUACACACAACACAGCAGUAGGACAUAGCUUAUACUUAGCAAUCAAAUUCAAUGCAACCAAAGAAAUAGAGUACGCUUUGUUGUGAGCCUGAAUUAACUUUUCAAGUGAAGUUCGGUCUUUACCUGCCAACGAUGAGUCGUUUCGUAUAUAUUCUUUAUUUUUUUCCUACUUUUGAAGUUAAAGGGUGAGUGAAAAUGGGAAGUUACCAUCUGAGAAUGUAAAAUCCAUUUUGCGGCGUGAGGUUAGUUUUAGGGUUAAAGAAGAUUAGAUUAUUUAUACGGAAAAGCUAUUUCUCUCGAUUUUAACUCCGACUCACACUCCGAAUUAAAUGUACCGUUUUGAGAAUAAUUAAAAGCGCACCGUUUCGACGCAUUUUUCCUUUCGUUUUGACGAACCGCCGAAACAAAAACGCACUUUCAAUGUACAAGCUUCAUAAAGCUAUUGGACAGAAAAUCCACAGAUUGAAUGGUUGUGAGUACUUUAAUGGAGAUCCUCAAAAGUUGAACGUUCCAACUGUUGAAAAAAUAGCACAUCAAUAUGAUAUUUGAGGGCACAUUUUGAGUUGGUCCCUGUUACGAGUCUGCAGCACUUUAUUUAUAUUCUAUUGAGUCAGUCAAAGUAGUUGGCCACUACUCCGAAUAAUGUGCACAAGUCUGAUUUAUUUGCCAUUUUUUAGCUAUUGUUGCUAUUUUUUAGUUAUCAGUUGCGCUUUCAUUGUUAAGAUACAGAGUCUUGCAGUGUAUAAAUUCAAAAGAGUUUAUUCAAUAAAGGCAUCGAGAAAAUUCACAAACUUAAUUAUAUUAUCAAUUGUUCUAUCAUUAUUUCCCACUGUUACUCUUGUUACAACAACAUAGCUCGAGGAAGGGGCAGAGGAAGGGGCCGAGGUCAAGCCAUUGGAGCAGAUCGUGACAAUUUGGUAUCAGAGCCACCAAUGGCAGAGGAUCAGCGCCUUCAACGACUUGAGAAUCAGGUAGAGAACCUUAGUUCUGGGCAAGAACGACUUCUGAAACAGAUGGAGGAGAUGAUGACAGCAAUGAACUCCCGAUUAAACAUGCCGGAUGAAGGGUCCGUCAAUAGGAAUCGGGGACCACCGGGACAGGGUGGUUUCGGUGAAGUGGGUGGUUGGAUGGCUCCAAAGCUUACCAAGUUGGAUUUUCCACGUUAUGAUGGCUCUGAAGAUCCAACACUAUGGAUUUGCAGGGCGGAGCAAUUCUUCGAUUUUCAAGCAACAGCUCCUAAUGAUCAGGUUCGAUUAGCAGCAUAUCACUUGGAAAGGGAUGCACAAUUAUGGUUCCAACGUCGUAAGAAUCAAGGGCAUCUUGUGACAUGGGAGGGCAUAAAGGCAGGCUUGUUAGAGCGAUUUGGCUCCACUGAAUAUGAAGAUCCAUUCGGUGAGUUGUGCAAGCUUAAACAGACAGGAACGGUGUCAGAGUAUCAAACUCGAUUUGAAAGGUUACUAGCACGAGCAGGUCACUUAACAGACAAACAAGAAGCUGAGUGUUUUAUCAGUGGGCUAAAAGAUGGGUUACGAACUGAUGUGCGAGUACAAAAUCCUCCAAAUUUAAGUGCAGCGAUUGGGUUGGCCCGAACUUAUGAAUUUAAGACCCAAAGACUUACGAAUACACCAAUCUCUUCCUUUGGACGGAAUUCUAACACACAAUUAGGCACAACAAAUUUCUCCAGAAACUCUACUGAUGUCCGCACACUACCAAUUCGCAGGUUCGCCCCAACAGAACUCCAACGUCGGCGGGAACAAGGGUUGUGCUAUAAUUGUGACGAGAAGUAUACCUUUGGGCACAAAUGUAAAAAAUUGUUUUUGAUUGAGGCGGAAGAGGGGGACGAGCUAGAAGAACAUAAAGAGGAGAAAGACGAUACACAAGAGACUCCCGCUAUUUCCUUGCAUGCUCUAGCUGGGGUCCAAUCUCCACAAACAAUGCGACUUCAGUCAAGUAUUGGUAAAGCCUCUUUGACUAUUUUAAUUGAUUCUGGUUCAACCCACAAUUUUCUCCAUCACAAAUUUGUAAAAAUUGCGGGACUUAAGCCAGAGCCAGGGUGUCUGCUCAGUGUGGUAGUUGCAAAUGGGGAGAAAUUGACUAGUCCAGGUCGUUGUAAGGGAGUACAGUUGCAAUUGCAGGGGACUCAGAUUGAAGCAGAUUUUUACCUCCUUUCUCUAGAAGGAUGUGAUGCGGUGUUAGGGGCACAAUGGUUAUGCACCCUUGGACCGAUCCUUUGGGACUUUGACAAAAUGGAAAUGCAGUUUACUAAAGAUGGGCGUCAGAUGACAUUACGGGGUGCUACUACUUCCGAACUUAAAGCUAUUGAGGGAGACACAAUUCAGAAAACAUUGAGGAAAAACCAAGGCCGUGGGAUCAUUUUACAACUUUGCUCAAUUUCAGUGGAUAAAGAACCAACAGCAACCAGUGAGGUAACACAAAAUGAUGAUUUCAGAUUCUUACUUACUGAAUUUCGUGAUGUUUUUGAAACUCCAAUAGGGCUACCGCCCUCGCGUUCCCAAGAUCAUCAAAUUCCUCUUCAACCAGGAACUGGGCCGAUAUGUGUUCGUCCUUAUCGAUAUCCACAUUUCCAAAAACAAGAGAUUGAGCGAUUGGUGGAAGAAAUGUUGCCCCAAGGGAUAAUCCGUCCCAGCCAGAGUCCAUUUUCAUCACCAGUAUUAUUAGUACGAAAACAUGAUGGGAGUUGGAGGUUUUGUGUGGAUUAUAGAGCACUUAAUCGACAAACUGUGAAAGAUAAAUUUCCAAUUCCGGUGAUCGAUGAACUAUUAGACGAAUUGCAUGGUGCCAGGUUCUUUACAAAGCUUGACCUCAAGUCAGGCUAUUUUCAGAUUCGCAUGAACCCAAAUGACGUGCAUAAGACGGCCUUUCGAACUCAUCAUGGACAUUUCGAAUUCCUGGUAAUGCCCUUUGGGCUCUCCAAUGCACCUUCUACAUUUCAGUCCCUCAUGAAUGAUAUCUUUAAAGCUCAUUUACGUAAAUUCAUCCUAGUUUUUUUUUAUGACAUUUUGAUUUAUAGUAAAUCAUGGUCUGACCAUCAAAAACAUGUUCAAAUUACUUUCUCGAUCUUGCGAGCUCAUCAUUUAGUUGUUAAAAGGGAGAAGUGCCAAUUCGGGGAAACCCAAGUUAAAUACUUGGGUCAUAUUAUUUGUAAUGAAGGUGUAAAGGUUGACCCUGACAAAAUUAAAGCAAUGGAAGGCUGGCCAAAACCAUCUACUGUCAAGGCAUUAAGAGGUUUCCUGGGACUCACAGGUUACUACAGAAAAUUUAUUGCAGGUUAUGGCAACAUAGCCGCUCCCUUGACGUCUAUGCUGAAAAAGAAUUCUUUUUUUUGGAAUUCAGAAGCAGACAUGGCCUUUGAGUUGUUGAAACAAUCCAUGACUCAUGCUCCAGUACUAGUUUUGCCAAAUUUCACCCUUUUAUUCAUUAUUGAAUGUGAUGCAUCUGGGAGUGGUUUAGGUGCUGUUUUAAUGCAAGAACAGAAACCAAUUGCAUAUUUUAGCACUGCUUUGAAAGGAAAAAAUCUAUUACUCUCUACCUACGAAAAGGAGCUGAUGGCACUGGUUUUAGCAGUAAAGAAAUGGAGACCGUACUUGUUGGGACGCCAUUUUGUAGUCCGAACCGAUCAACGGAGUCUAAAAUACUUGUGGGAGCAGAGAAUAAUGACAGAACCUCAACAGAAGUGGCUACUCAAACUGAUGGGAUAUGAUUUUUCCAUCGAAUACAAGAAGGGAAAGAGUAAUGCAGCAGCAGAUGCAUUAUCUAGAAGGGACGUGCAAGGCGAAAUCAAUUCUAUCUCCUGCCCUUUACCACAAUGGUUAGAGGCAGUUCGAGAGGAAAAUCAGUCGCAUCCCGAGUUACAACAAAUACAUGAGAAUCUACAGCAAGGCGAGGCAGUGGGACCUUGGGAGAGUCGAGAUGGCAUUUUAUUCUUCAAAGAACGGAUCUACUUACCUGAAAACUCACCAUUAAUUCCAGCAAUCAUCCAAGAGAUCCAUGAUAGCAGUCAUGAGGGGUUUUACAAAUCCUUCCACAGAAUCAGAGAAGUUUUUUUUGUGAAGCACAUGAAGGAGACGCUUAAGAAUUAUAUUAAACAGUGUGAUGUGUGUCAACGUCACAAGGUUGAUCAUCAAUCACCCUCGGGCCUUCUUCAGCCUUUACCUAUUCCAAUGGAGGUAUGGUCUGAUAUCUCGAUGGAUUUCAUUGAUGGAUUACCCCCAUCUAAAGGAAAAUCAUUUCUCUUUGUGGUAGUGGAUCGGUUGUCUAAAUAUGCUCAUUUUAUUCCAAUGUCUCAUCCUUAUUCUGCUCCUAAGGUGGCACAAGUGUUUUUUGAGAAUGUGUUUAAGCUUCAUGGCAUGCCGAGAUCAAUUGUGUGUGAUCGGGAUUCCACUUUUUUGAGUUCUUUUUAGAAGGAGCUUUUCAAUUUACAGGGCACUCAUUUCAAUUUCAGCUCGUCUUAUCAUCCGCAAACGGAUGGGCAAACUGAGGCAGUAAACCGAACUAUUGAAAUGUAUUUGCGAUGCUUUACAAGUGCCAAGCCAAACGAGUGGGUUCACUGGAUUUCCUGGGCAGAAUUCUGUUAUAACACUAGUCCUCACACUUCCACUCGAAAGACUCCCUUUGAAGUGUUGUAUGGGGGAGCUGCACCUAACUUGUUAACUUAUGUUCCUGGAACAGCUAGAGUAGAAGCCGUAGACCAGACGUUGCAAGCUAGAGAUCGGGUCAUGCGAGAGCUAAGGACUCAACUCCAACAAGCACAAGAAAGAAUGAAAGCUGCAUAUGAUCGUGGAAGAGUGGAAAGAGAAUUUUCUGUGGGGGAUUGGGUGUAUUUACGUUUGCAGCCCUACCGACAGACCUCUUUGGCACUGAGAUCGUCAAACAAACUCUCACCCCGCUUUUAUGGUCCUUAUCGAGUGUUGGAGAGAAUUGGAUUAGUUGCCUAUCGUCUCGAUCUUCCGCCUGGAAGUAAAAUCCAUCCUGUUUUUCAUGUCUCUCUCUUGAAGAAACAACUGGGUGCCCAAGAUCGAACUCUUUCUAGCCUUCCAUCCGUAGCAGAUGAAAAUGGAGAACUUCAGCCCCAACCUUCAGCAAUUCUGAAACACCGUAGGAAAGGACGCAAGUGUGAAAUGUUGAUUCAAUGGGAUGGUCUCCCAGCGUCAGAAGCUACCUGGGAAGAAGAACAUUCUUUUAUGGCAAGGUUCCCUCACUUUAAGAGUCCUUGAGGACAAGGACCUAUUCAAGGGGGGAGGAAUGUUACGAGUCUGCAGCACUUUAUUUAUAUUCUAUUGAGUCAGUCAAAGUAGUUGGCCACUACUCCGAAUAAUGUGCACAAGUCUGAUUUAUUUGCCAUUUUUUAGCUAUUGUUACUAUUUUUUAGUUAUCAGUUGCGCUUUCAUUGUUAAGAUACAGAGUCUUGCAGUGUAUAAAUUCAAAAGAGUUUAUUCAAUAAAGGCAUCGAGAAAAUUCACAAACUUAAUUAUAUUAUCAACUGUUCUAUCAUUAUUUCCCACUGUUACUCUUGUUACAACAACAUAGCUCGAGGAAGGGGCAGAGGAAGGGGCCGAGGUCAAGCCAUUGGAGCAGAUCGUGACAGUCCCACUUACCGAAAGUGAGAAAUCUUGUAAGGUUCGGAUUCUACUACGUUAAUACUUCAAAAGUGUAUUUUUAUUUUCUUAAAAUGGUGCUUGAGUGAAUGAGAAAUUGUCUCUCAAAGUUCACCCUUGAAGUUGGAAAUUUGAAAGAAAAUGAGGCUUAUCCACAUGGGAAAAAGAAGUCAAGGGAUUAGUGUUUAUAUAUAAACACUUAACCAUGCAUGAGCAAGAAUUAUAAGGAUAGAGGCCCUCUCCACACGCGCGUGCGCAGGGGGGGUGCAAAUCUAAGACUGAUUUAGUUGAACUCGUGUGCGCCCGCGCGUCCUGCGUACGCGAAUGUUAGCCCAAAAUCAUCCAAGCUUGCAUGGCACGUUUUUAAUUUCCUUUUAAAUUUUUUUGUUGUAAUAGUUUCACGUUUUUGAAUACAAAGAAUUUGUAACAGCUUCACAAUUAUUUUUGAGCUGUUAUAUAGUUCAAUUUUGAAAUCAAUUGACUGAAUUGAAUUGGCUGUUAUAACAAUUAAAUGGCAUAUAUUAAAUUCGGAAAUUCAAUACUAUGCAGCUGUUACAUCCUCACAUGUGUAUAAAAAAGGCGGCUUCUUCUUCUGUUUUCACACGCAAGAACAACCAACACACAGAGAGCACUUCAAAAUUUCUUUCUCCUUCUGACAUUCUGUUUUUGAUCGAGUUUUGAACGCUGUUGUGGUUCGCCGGAAUUAUUUGUUAAUGCUUGGCAGAUAAUUCAUACCCGUUGUAUCCUGGAAAACAGUUACCAGCAAACCUAAAGCACUACACUAGGUGGUAAAUUUGUUUUAAGGAAACUGCCCUGCAGGCCUCGGGUUUAUUUUCUGUUUCGGUUUUCUUUUCCCUUCUAUUUUUCCAGUUCUUCAUUCCUGAUUCUAGUUGUUGUUUUACGUUGUUGGUUAAAUUACCUACUGUGUUAAAUUGUUAUCUCACUGUGAUUAUUUUUCUUACAAUCUUAAAACAGAUUUAAAUCGUUGAGAUGGUAACUGAAACCAAUGAUGCAGUUUCGCAUGUCCCUGUUUCAGCUUCUGUUGAUGGACCAUUGUUGUGCAAAUUUUAUUGAACUCGCAAGCGCACGAUUCUAUUGUAGAAUAGACUAAUGGUGACGAGUGUCGAUCCCACGAGGAGGUGGAUUUUAAUUGUGUGUAGAAUUAAUUUUGUAAAUGGGUGGUUGGAUUUGUGGUGAAAGUGACUUAGAUUAUCUUAAAAUUGAAAUUGAAAGAAGAGAAAUCUAUUGAAAGAGAAAUCUAUUGAAAUGAAACACUUGGGUAUCUGGAUCCGUAUCAACAUGCACCAUGGGCCAAAUAUUCCUUAUUAAUACCAAUUAAAUCAUGAGGGGGAAAUCCACACCUCAUGAACCACACUCUAAUCAAUAUGGUGCUAAGGGCUAAUCGGGCCAAAUAAUAAUAACCUUGUACUAGAGAGCCGGUGAAACCAAUGCGGUAUCUAGACAAGAUUAUUAUUAUUUAUCGACGAGAAGUCAAAACAUCCACAAAAACUAGAGGGGAAGAGAAAAUAAAUUUACCAAAUAAAGCCCAUGACACAUGUUGAGACUUCACCUUCCACCCAAGCUUGAAAGAAAUUAGCUACUCAUAAUUGAACUAGGGGCAAAAUAAUGGAUAGGACAGAGGUCUUCUAAACCUUUGGUAUAGGUUCAAAUCCUAUUGGCUACUCAUAAUUGAACUAGGGGCAAAAAGAGAAUUUAUUAAAAUACGUAGAAAAUAGAAGAUAGAGAAGGAAUUACAGAAAAUGGAAUCCAAAAAUGGAUUCAGAGCUAUCAAAUUAGGGGGGAAGAGCCCCCUUUUUAUAGAUACAUUGAGUAAAUCAUGGCCAUCGGAUCAAAAACAUUUCGGACGCUCAGGAUUGCGCCACGUCAUCAGUCAACAGUACGUUAAUCCUUUUAUUCUCCUUCUAAGGUUUUCGAUUGUCUUGAGUUUAAAAGUGAUGUCUGUUUUACCGUUUGAUCUCUCGUUCAUUGUGAAAUGACUAUGAUACCCCUAAAAUACAUAAAAUACUUAAUUAUAAUACAACACACAUAAUUCUGCUAUGCAGGAAGCCCAGAAAAAUUCAAUGGCCAAAAUUUCAAACGUUGGCAGCAAAAGAUGUUCUUUUACUUGACCACGUUGAACCCUGCGAGGUUCUUAAUGGAGGAUGCUCCUAAACCCAAAGAGGGUGAAACGAAUGUUCAAGUUACAAGUGCAAUUGAUGCAUGGCAUCAUUCUGAUUUUUUAUGUAAAAAAUAUGUAAUGAAUGGCCUUAGUGAUUCCUUGUAUAAUGUAUACAUAGGAAAGAAAACAGCGAAGAAGUUAUGGAAUCUUUAGAUCGAAAAUAUAAAACUGAGGAUGCGGGUACCAAAAAGUUUGUUGUUGGUUGCUUCCUAGACUAUAAAAUGGUGGAUUCUAAAAUUGUAAUAAAUCAAGUACAAGAGCUUCAAAUAAUAUUAUCUGAAAUCCUUACAGAAGGGAUGAUGCUAAGUGAAACUUUUCAAGUGGCUACAAUUAUUAAAAAAUUACCUCCUGCUUGGAAAGAUUUCAAGAGCUAUUUGAAGCAUAAACGCAAGGAAAUGAAUAUUGAGGGGCUGGUUGUUAAGCUCCGAAUUGAGAAAGAUAACAGAAAUGCAGAAAGAAGAGGGACUAUUUAUAUGGCAAAGGCAAAUGUUGUUGAACAUGGACCUAAAAAUAAGAAAAAUAAAAAAUUGGGUACGAAAGGAGGAAUUUCCAAGAAGCAAACAAAGUUUCAAAGAAAAUAUUUUAAUUGUGAUAAGAUAGGUCACAAGGCUUCGGAUUGCAGGUUUCCUAAAAAGAAGCGAGAGACAAAUGUGGUGGAAAACAUCAUUCAACAUGUUUCAGACGUAAACCUCUCUGCAAUUGUUUCAGAAGUGAAUCUGGUUGGCUCUAAUCCGAGGGAAUGGUGGAUUGAUACGGGAGCAACCAGACAUGUUUGCUCGGACAGAGGGUUGUUCACUUCAUUUGAAGUAGUUAGCAAUUGAGAGAAGCUAUUCAUAGGGAAUUCUGCUACAUCAUAGAUUGAGGGUCAAGGGAAUGUGAUUCUAAAGAUGACUUCUGGAAAAGAGCUGACUCUGAACGAUGUGCUUUAUGUGCCAGAAAUUUGGAAGAACUUGGUGUCUGGAUCGCUGCUGAACAAACAUGGUUUCCGAAUAGUGUUUGAGUCAGAUAAGGUAGUUUUGUCAAAGAAUGGGAUGUAUGUGGGAAAGGGUUAUGUUAAUGAUGGGCUAUUUAAGCUCACUGUAACGACUCUGAAACCAAAAAUUAAUAAUGAAGCUAGUUCUUCUGCUUAUUUGCUUGAGUCUUCUAAUCUUUGGCAUGGUAGAUUAGGACAUGUUAAUUUUCAUUCAUUGCGUAAAUUAAUUAACAUGAAGCAUAUUCCCAAUUUCCAAAUUGAUUUGAAAUAUAAGUGUGAAACUUGUGUUGAAGCAAAACUAACUAGGUCAUCUUUCCAAACAAUUAAAAGAAACACCAAACCACUUGAUUUAAUACAUAGUGAUAUUUGUGAUUUUAAAUCCAUUCAACAAGAGGUGGUAAUAAAUAUUUUAUUACCUUUAUUGACGAUUGCACAAAAUAUUGCUAUAUAUAUUUAUUGAAAAAUAAAGAUGAAGCUUUAGAAAAGUUUAUUCUCUACAAAAAUGAAGUUGAGAAUCCACUUAAUAGAAAAAUCAAAGAAUAAAGGAGUGACCGUGGUGGUGAGUAUAUUGUUCCGUUUAAGUCACUAUGUAAACAAAGUGGAAUCAUACAUCAAGUCACGGCUCCAUAUUCACCUCAAUCUAAUGGGAUUGCAGAACGAAAGAAUCGAAUAUUAAAGGAAAUGAUGAAUGCAAUGUUGAUAAGUUCUAGGUUACCCUAGAACAUAUGGGGAGAAGCUGUUUUGUCAGCUAAUUAUUUAUUAAAUAAGAUACCCGAAAGUAAGAAGAUAAAACCAUGUAUGUGCUGUGGAAAUAUAGAGCACCUUCAUAUAAAUUCUUACGAGUGUGGGGGUGUCUUGCUAAAGUAGUGGUUCCUUCAAAUAAAAAAGUAAAAAUAAGAUAAAAAACUGUUGACUGCAUUUUCAUUAGUUAUGCACAAAACAGUAGUGCUUUAUCGAUUUCUGGUGCAUGAGUCUAAAGUUCCAGAUGUCUACAAAAAUACGAUAAUAGAAUCAAGAAAUGCAUCGUUUUUCAAACAUGUGUUUCCUUGCAAUUCUAGAGUGGAAUUGAGAGAACUACGACAAUUUCAUGAAACAACAAUUGAAAAUGAAGAAAAUGAUGAAGCACCAGAAAAAGAAGAAGAACAACAACAAGAAAUUGAGGUCAGACGUAGCAAAAGAGCUAGAAUAGAAAAGCCCUUUGAUCCAAAUUUUCUGACGUAUUUGCUAGAAAGUGAACCUCAAAGUAGGGAUGGCAAUGGGACGGGAUGGGAUGGGAUUUAUCAAUCUCAGUCCCACCCUGUAUAUGCAAAUGGGAUAAAAAACGUCUCAAUCUUGUCCCUAUAUUUUUAUUAGGAAAAAAAUAUAUCUGAAUCUUGUCCCAAAAGAGAUGGGAUCCUGCGGGAUCCCAUUCCAAUUGGAAAACGUUUCAUUCUUAAUCAGCAAUAAGACGGGAUAGAAUGGAAUUUGUCAAUCCCACUCCCGUCCCGCAUAUGUAAUUGGGAUAAAAAAAUGUCCUUCUCAUGUCCCUAAAUUUUUUAUGGGAAAAAAAUAUGUUCUAAUCCCGUCCCAAAUAGGAUGGGAUCCUGCAGGAUCUCAUCCCAUCGUGAAAAUUUGUCAUCCCUACCUCAAAGCUUCAAAGAAGUUGUAACUUCACCUGAAGGCGCUUUAUGGAAAGAAGCCAUUAACAGUGAAGUUGAAUCCAUUUUACAAAAUCAUAUCUGAGAGCUAGUAGAUCUUCCUCCAGGAUGUAAACCUUUGGGGUAUAAGUGAAUUUUCAAAAGGAAAAUGAAAGCCGAUGGAUCAAUCGAUAAGUAUAAGGCUAGGCUUGUAAUUACAGGUUAUAGGCAACGAGAAGGCCUUGAUUACUUUGAUACUUAUUCUCCUGUUACGAGAAUAAAUUUCAUUCAAAUGAUAAUAGCAAUUGCAGCUUUGCGCAAUCUCGAGAUACAUUAAAUUGAUGUAAAGACGACUUUUCUCAAUGGAGAUUUAAAUGAAGAAAUCUACAUGGAGCAACCUGAAGGUUUUAUAGCUCCAGGACAAGAAAAGAAAGUUUGUAAAUUGGUAAAGUCAUUAUAUGGCUUGAAACAAGCACCGAAACAGUGGCAUGAAAAAUUUGAUCAUACGACGAUCACAAGUGGCUUUAAGAUCAACGAGUGUGACAAAUAUGUUUAUGUCAAAGAAACAGAAAAUGGCUAUGUCAUUUUAUGUUUAUAUGUUGAUGACAUGCUCAUUGUUGGGAGUGAUGAUGGCAUGAUUAAAUCUACCAAGAAUAUGUUGAAGUCUAAGUUUGACGUGAAAGACAUGGGUCUUGCAGAUGUCAUUUUGGGAAUUAAAAUCUCAAGGGCUUCUAAUGGACUUAUUCUAACUCAAACUCAUUAUGUGGAUAAAAUUCUUGAGAAAUUUAAUAAAGAUGAUAAUACUGUGUCUAAGAUUCCAUUAGAUACGAGUAUCCAUUUAUCGAAAAACAGAGGAUAGGGCAUUUCUCAAGUAGAAUAUGCUAGAAUAAUAGGCAGUCUGAUGUACUUAACAAAUUGUACCAGACCAGAUCUACCAUAUAGAGUAAGUAAACUUAGUAGAUAUACGAGUAAUCCAGGAACUGAUCACUGGAAAGCUAUUGUAAGAGUACUUGGGUAUCUUCGAUACACUCGUAAUUAUGGACUGCACUAUGUUGAGUGUUAGAAAAUGCAUAUUUAUAAAGGAGAAAACCGUCAUUUUACAUUUCAAGUCUUACUAACAACCCUUACUUUUAUGUAUUUAACCUUCUUGUGAUUUAAUUACAUGUGUUUUAUUUUAAUUAAGUAUUUUAUGUAUUUUAGGGGCAGUAUAGCCAUUUCACAAUAAAGGAGAGAUCAGACGGCAAAACGGACAUCACUUUUGAACUCAGGACGGUCGAAAACCUUAGGAGGAGCAUAAAAGGAAAAAUGACACUAUUCACACUAGUUCUGCAGAGAUGUGUCGAGAAGAACUUGGUCUUAAAUUGGGAGAAAUGCCAUUUUAUGGUAAAACAAGGUAUUGUUCUCGGUCACAUCAUUUCGAGCAAAGGUAUUGAGGUUGACAAAGCCAAGGUGGAUCUCAUUUCUAAUCUUCCUCCACCCAAAACAGUCAGACAAGUAAGAUCUUUCCUUGAGCAUGCUGGUUUCUAUAGACGUUUCAUUAAAGAUUUUAGCAAAGUUUCUAGACCCUUAUGCAAUCUACUUGCUAAGGAUGUAUAUCUAUAAAAAGGGGGCCUUUCCCCCCUAAUUUGAUAUCUCUGAAUCCAUUUUUGGGAUCCAUUUUCUGUAAUUCCUUCUCCAUCUUGUAUUUUCUUUGUAUUUUAAUAAAUUCCCAUUUUGCCCCUAGUUCAAUUAUGAGUAGCUAAUUUCUUUCAAGCUUGGGUGGAAGGUGAAGUCUCAACAUGUGUCAUGGGCUUUAUUUGGUAAAUUUAUUUUCUCUUCCCCUCUAGUUUUUGUGGAUGUUUUGACUUCUCGUCGAUAAAUAAUAAUAAUCUUGUCUAGAUACCGCCUUGGUUUCACCGGCUCUCUAGUACAAGGUUAUUAUUAUUUGGCCCGAUUAGCCCUUAGCACCAUAUUGAUUAGAGUGUGGUUCAUGAGGUGUGGAUUUCCCCCUCAUGAUUUAAUUGGUAUUAAUAAGGAAUAUUUGGCCCAUGGUGCAUGUUGAUACGGAUCCAGAUACCCAAGUGUUUCAUUUCAAUAGAUUUCUCUUCAAUUUAUUCUUGUCAUUUCAAUUUCAAUUUUAGCAUUUUUUAAAUCACUUCCACCACAAUUCCAACCACCCAUUUACAAAAUUAAUUCUACACAAUUAAAAAUCCACCUCCUCGUGGGAUCGACACUCGUCACCAUUAGUCUAUACUACAAUAGAUUCGUGCGCUUGCGAGUACAUUAAAAUUUGCACAACACACUAUACUAGGUAUCCAGAAGUAUUAGAAGGAUUUAGUGAUGCUGACUGGAUAUCUGAUGUAAAAGAUUCAAAAUCCACUAGAGGCUAUGUGUUUAUACUAGCAGGUGCAGCUGUAUCAUGGAGAUCUUCUAAACAAAUAGUAAUUGCUAGAUCUACAAUGGAAUCUGAAUUCAUUGCAUUAGAUAAAUAUAGUGAACAAGCAUAAUGGUAACGCAAUUUUUUAGAAGGUAUACCAAAGUGGCCAAAGCCAGUGCCUACAAUUUGUAUUCAUUGCGAUAGUCAAUCAGCUAUCGGUAGGGUACAAAGCAAUAUAUAUAAUGGUAAGUCUAGACACAUACGUCGUAGACAUAAUACCAUUAGACAACUUAUUUUUACUGGAGUUAUUUCUAUUGACUAUGUGAGGUCAAAGGAUAAUACUGCGGAUCCGCUAACCAAAGGAUUAAAUAGAGAGCUAGUAAAAAAUCAUCAAGGGGAAUGGGAUUAAAACCCUUAGAAUGAUUAGUCAAUAACGAAAGAAAACCCAACCUAGUUGACUGGAGAUCACAAGAUCUAGGUUCAAUAGGACAACCUAUUUGUUAAAGAUUAAAGUUGGAUCACUGUGGGGGUCAUUCUCUUGAAAGGAUUACCUCAUUGACCAUUCCUAUGAUGAAACAGUAAUGCCCAUGGGGAAUAAGGUUGAGCUAGGCUUUUGAUGAUUCUUAUGUGUCGGAAAUUUGAACGGAGUAAUGCGGGUUACUCUUAAUUAAGAUAUCACCUAUAUGAGAGAGAAGUGGGGCCGCUUCAAAGGGAGCUGUUAGAGGUUCAGCUCUUAGAAACUCUUGCAAAACCAGGUACAUAUUCAAGGCCAAAACGAACAUAACUAUGAAAACUCAACAGUGUUAGGAGAAAUACUUAUGUGUAAUAGAUGAUCGUUUACACUAACGGCAGAAUAGUUCAAAGACAUCGCGUUUACUGAUCAGCCAGUAGAGUAAAUAUACUAUCACAAUGGAAUGUUCAAAGGAUAAGACCUACCUAUCAUGUGCUAGGUAUUGAUCCAAUAAACUCGAUCACUAAGGUCAAAAAUGGUUUUGAUGUCAAAAUUUAGUGGUUUUUCUGUUUUACCGCCAAUUUUCAAUCAUGUGGGGGAUUGUUGAAAAAAUAGCAUAUCAAUAUGCUAUUUUGAGGGCACAUUUUGAGUGGAUCCCACUUAGCGAAAGUGGAAAAUCUUGUGAGGUUCGGAUUCUAAUUCGUUAAUACUUCAAAAGUGUAUUUUUAUUUUCUCAAAAUGGUGCUUGGGUGAAUGAGAAAUUGUCUCUCAAAGUUCACCCUUGAAGUUGGAAAUUUAAAAGGAAAUGAGGCUUAUCCCACAUGGAAAAAAGAAGCCAAGGGAUUAGUGUUUAUAUAUAAACACUUAACCAUGCAUGAGCAAUAAUUAUAAGGAUAGAGGCUCUCUUCACACGCGCGUGCGCAGGGGGGGUGCAAAUCUAAGACUGAUUUAGUUCAACUCGUGUGCGCCCGCGCGUCCUGCGUACGUGAAUUUCAACCUAAAAUCAUCCAAGCUUGCAUGGCACAUUUUUAAUUUCCUUUUAAAUUUUUUUUUGUUGUAAUAGUUUCACGUUUUUUAAUUCAAAGGAUUUAUAACAGCUUCACAAUUAUUUUUGAGCUGUUAUAUAGUUCAAUUUUGAAAUUAAUUGACUGAAUUGAAUUGGUUGUUAUAACAAUUAAAUGGCAUAUAUUGAAUUCAGAAAUUCAAUACUAUGCAGCUGUUACAUCCCCACACGUGUAUAAAAAGGCAGCUUCUUCUUCUGUUUUCACACGCAAGAACAACCAGCACACAGAGAGCAUUUCAAAUUUUCUUUCUCCUUCUGACGUUCUGUUUUUUAUCGAGCUUUGAACGCUGUUGUGGUUCGUCGGAAUUAUUUGUCAAUGCUUGACAGAUAAUUCGUACCCAUUGUAUCCUGGGAAAUAGUUACCAGCAAACCUAAAGCACUACAGUUGGUGGUAAAUCUGUUUUAAGGAAACUGUCCUGCAGGCCUCGAGUUUAUUUUCUAUUUCGGUUUUCUUUUUCUUCUAUUUUUCCAGUUCUUCAUUCGUGAUUUUUAGUUGUUAUUUUAUGUUGUUGGUUAAAUUACCUACUAUGUUAAAUUGUUAUCUCACUGUGAUAAAGCAUAUGCUGGCAAUGUCAUUUUGGUUUGAAAUUAAUUGAAGUAUAUGCUCACCCACGCGCUGCCCACCUUUUUCGGCUGAAAUUAAAAGGAAAAGGAAUAAAGUAAAACGACGUCAUUUUUCACCAUUCAGGGCGCGACUCGGGGUUUGACUCGAGGUGUGUAGCAGCGCUGUUAUUUAUAUAGAACAGAGAGAUGAAGAAGAUAAUUUACAUUCGAUGCUUCUUUUUAACUUUUGAAUUUACACUAAUAUCCUUCUUAUUUGAAGUUUCGUCAUUUAAAUCCCCAUCGGCAAUCAGGCACAGGCAAAUACCAGUGAGCGAUUAUUUCAUCUUUGUUUUCCGUUUUUAAUUUUAAUAUUGCAGAUUUUAAAAUAAUCAAUUAAUAAUAUGCAUGUAUAAUUUUACAACAAUAAAAUGCCACAAUUAUCAUCUCAACUAAACAGAGGGGGAAAAACAAUUAUGUAAUAUUUUCGGAGCUUAGAUUUGAGAGACAAGAAAAAGGAUGGAGCCUUAACAUAAUUUUCAAGUUUUUUUAAUCAGCAAAACCGAAGGACUUUACAACACUAAAAGGAAAAUAACAAUCUGAAAUUUUAUUGACAAAAACGCAUGUUUGACUAGGGAUGGCAAUUGUAUCCGUAAACCCGCCCAAACCCACCCGCCAAAACCCGCCCGCUGUGGGUAAUUUUACCUGUUGCGGGCGGGUUUAGUAUUAUAAACUAAAACCCGCAUAUGGAUGCGGGUGGGUUUGGUAUUAACUUUAUAUCUGAUGGAUACCCGCAUGGAUAUCCACCAAACCCGUAAUAUUUUUUCCAAAUAUUUUUAAUUUAAUUUUAAUCUAAAAACGUAUAAAGAAAAUAAUGUCAUUAUUCAAAUUACCAAAUAGUCAAAGGUUCAAAGUUGUGUAUGUGUGUAUGUGACCCAUCUCCCAUUCUAAAGUCAUAACUUAAAGAAAACUAAAGGCAUGUCCCUUCGAAUUAGUAUUUGAAAAUAUUAAUCUUAAUUAUUAUUAUAGGCAUUGUGUUGGAUGGGUGCUUAUAGUGGUGAAUGAAAUGAAUAUCUUCUCUUGGAGCUUGUUUUAAAUAAUAAUAUGAAAUGUAAUUAUUAUUUUUAGAUACUAAUUUGUAUUUUUUAAAUGAAUUUGUGUAAUUUAUACUUAAAUUUGAGAAUUUGUGUUGGAUUGAUGUGGAAAUUUUAAUUUUUUAUUUACAUUGUUUAAAUAUAAAAUUGAGUAUGUUAUAUGGAAUUUGAGGUUAUUAUUAUAAAUUUAUCUAUUAAACAUUUGUGAUUUUAAAUACGGAAACCCGCAAAAAAUCCGCCGGGUACCAUUGCGGGUUUGGUAAUUGUUAAAACCCGCUGCGGGUUGCGGGUGGGUUUGGUAAUUUAAAUUUUGUACGGUUUGGGUUUCGUAAUGGCAAACCCGCUGCAGGCGGUACCCAUUGCCAUCCCUAUGUUUGACAUUAACAAGUUCAAAUUUUUUAUUUUAAGAACUAUAAAUAAUACCUUUGUGACUUGGGAGUUUAUUAAGGAUCUUAACUUUUUUAUUUCAAAAUUUUAAGAUUUGAAUAAAAAGUAGACAAAAUAAAAAUGAAGAACAAAAUGCAAGGUGUUUUGGGCAAGGAAAUAAGGAAGUGGCACCAGCUAUCAGAACUAAGAAAGUUUCAUUAACAAAACACAAAUUGUCUGUUAUGAAAACAUAAUCUAGAACAUUAAGAUGACACAAAUUGUCUGUUAUGAGAACAUAGUCUAGAACAUUAAGAUGAUUUUGUAUAAAUCCGGAUGCCGACGGCCAACCCCAGGAUUGCUAGCGGCACAAGGAAUUGGAGAAGCCUGAUGAUGAACUCUGAUGUCUUGUCCUGGUUGUAGUGAGGCUGCUUUGGAGGUGUAUACUCCUUUUUCUUUGGGAUGGUCGAUACAUCAAUCUCUCCGACGUAGUACUGGUCCAUCAUUUCUCUGGCACUCGGACUAUGACCCACAUCUUCAAAGUCAUCCGUGGCAUCCUUCCCUG